rnacentral:rRNA from 1 species
ACAAUGGCGCAUACAAAGAGAAGCGACCUCGCGAGAGCAAGCGGACCUCAUAAAGUGCGUCGUAGUCCGGAUUGGAGUCUGCAACUCGACUCCAUGAAGUCGGAAUCGCUAGUAAUCGUGGAUCAGAAUGCCACGGUGAAUACGUUCCCGGGCCUUGUACACACCGCCCGUCACACCAUGGGAGUGGGUUGCAAAAGAAGUAGGUAGCUUAACCUUCGGGAGGGCGCUUACCACUUUGUGAUUCAUGACUGGGGUGAAGUCGUAACAAGGUAACCGUAGGGGAACCUGC